rnacentral:rRNA from 1 species
ACGUAGGGGGCGAGCGUUGUCCGGAUUUAUUGGGCGUAAAGAGCUCGUAGGCGGUUCGGUAAGUCGGGUGUGAAAUCUCCACGCUCAACGUGGAGGGGCCACUCGAUACUGCCGUGACUCGAGUCCGGUAGAGGAGUGUGGAAUUCCCGGUGUAGCGGUGAAAUGCGCAGAUAUCAAGAGGAACACCUGAGGUGAAGACGGGUUGCUGGGCCGACACUGACGCUGAUGCGCGAAAGCCAGGGGAGCAAACGGGA